UAAGUAACAAGCAGGUCACACCCUGUGCAGGACGCAGUCCCAGCCAGGACACAGCAUGGACAUGAAGGUUCCCACUCAGCUCCUGGGCCUCCUGCUGCUCUGGCUCCCAGGAGCCAGUUCCGAAAUCCAGAUGACCCAGUCCCCAUCCUUGCUGUCUGCAUCUCCGGGAGACAGAGUCACCAUCACUUGUCGGGCCAGUCAGAAUGCUAACAAGUGGUUAACCUGGUAUCAGCAGAAACCAGGGAAACCUCCUAAGCCCCGGAUCUAUGAAGCAUCCAAGUUGCAAACUGGGGUCCCAUCACGGUUUAGUGGCAGUGGGUCUGGGACAGAUUUCACCCUCACCAUCAGCAGCCUGGAGCCUGAAGACGCUGGGACCUAUUACUGCCAUCAGUAUAACAGCAACCCGCCCACAGUGUUACAGCCUGCAGAAACAUCUGCAUCACUGAGAACUUCUUACCAACACAAAAUUGCGGGUCACCUUAGACCUUGAGAUGGGAAUCUGCACUUUUAACAAGUUACCAGGUGAUCUAUAGAAUGUUUAAGCAGCUGUUUUAGAGAAUGUUUACUUCAGCUAAAAAGAUUUUUUUUCCAGUGAAGCCCUUUAAGACAAUUUCUAUUUAAAGCUGUGUGUUGAAACCACAUUCAGCUCUAUUUUCCAGUUGACACAAAACUAGAUUUGAAAACAUUUUUAUGAUGGUAUAAUCUGAAAAACAUGUAUCUGCCAAUGACAUGAUCAAAUACUUUGUUUUUAUUUUUAUUUAAUUUAAUUUAAUUUUAAUUUCCAGUAUAGUUAGCAUACAGUGUCAUAUAAGUUUCAGGUGUACAAUAUAGUGAUUCAAGGGUUCCAUCCCUCACCCUGGGCUCCUCCCGACAAGAGCACUCCUUACUCCCCAUCACCUAGUUCACCCAUCCUCCCACCCCUCUCCCCUCUGGUAACCAUCAGUUUGUUCUCUAAGUUAAGAAGCUGUUUUUUGGUUUGUCUCUCUCUCUCUUUUUUUUUC